UGGGGUGCCAACAGCGGACCAAUCAAUCUCAACCUUCCUAGCCAACCGAAUGAAGCCGGCCCGAUAUCACAUGUGGGCCCGUGGUCGACACGUUUAUUCUCAAGGCGAUCGGGAUGCCAGUUGAAAUCCAAGACAACUUGCUGAUAAACGGUUGAUUCGAGGUGGGGCCAGCUUUUGUGACUAACUCCACUGAGGGCAUUCUACUGGAAGAAGACAGAUUUCACUCAAUCUGCAUUACAACAGUGGUCUGUGAUGGGAAUAGUGAAAUAUAUAGACUUCCAAACACUUCUUAGUCCCAAAAGGCAAUGCUGCAAUCGAGAUCGUCUCAGGCGAUAUCUCCGGGAUCUGAACAACAGUGGUGCUCAAGAAGGGUUCUACCUACAACUUGGAGUUUGUGAUGGCUGACACCAACAAUUCAUGCACAGGCAAUUUCAUAGUAGAAGCCCAAGGAGGCCCAUCUGCUCAAAACUUCACAUUACAAAGCAAUGGCACGGGCACUACCCAAAAAUUCUCUAUGUUGCUCAAAGCAGAUUCAAAUACAACUCCUAUCAGUUUCCCUAGUUUCACUCAGGAGCAGACAAAGGAUUUCGCAUUUUGCGGCCCUGUGAUUGAUGAUGUGGUUCUUCGCGCUACUUCAUGUGGAUCGUUAUCCGGUGUCAAGAGUGGGGUUCUGUUUUCUUGUAUUGUUUUCAUUGUGAGUGCCCUAAAUAUAAUUGGGUGAAGCAACUGUUUGUUUCAAUAAUAAUUCAGCUGCCAGUGAGGCAUUAUUCUAA